rnacentral:lncRNA from 1 species
CAAAUUGAAAAGGCAAUUGGUGAAGAGACGUGGGGGUAAAGUUCUUAAGACUGGAAUGGUUAAGAAGCAGAAGACUGCGGAUUAUCUUGAUGAUCAGCCACCUGCAACUGAUGCAUGGACUCGAUACAUGGCUGAAGUGAAGAAAUACAGACAGCAAGCAUGUGAUGAAGAUGGGAAAACACGCCCUCUUGUUAAAUAACAUUUUGAAUAUAAACUUUUAUGUAAAUAUUUGUAUGUAACUAUCUUGCUGAAGCUCAAGGCAUCUUAUUCUUGACAUAGUUAUGUUUAUAGAUUGUUUGUUUCCCUUUUGUAUUUAAAUAAUUUGCCUUUUUUUAUUAAUAGAUGCAAUAAAUGUGAAUUUUCUCCAUAUCAGAUUA